rnacentral:rRNA from 1 species
UACAGGGGGGGCAAGCGUUGUUCGGAAUUACUGGGCGUAAAGGGCUCGUAGGUGGCCAACUAAGUCAGACGUGAAAUCCCUCAGCUUAACUGGGGAACUGCGUCUGAUACUGGAUGGCUUGAGUUUGGGAGAGGGAUGCGGAAUUCCAGGUGUAGCGGUGAAAUGCGUAGAUAUCUGGAGGAACACCGGUGGCGAAGGCGGCAUCCUGGACCAACACUGACACUGAGGAGCGAAGCCAGGGGAGCAAACGGG